ACAUAUAAGUAGCGGAGGACAAGAAACUAAACAGGAUCCCCAUAGUAAUGGCGAAUGAACCGGGAUAAACUCAGCAUGGAAAUUGGGGCCUUUGGCUUUGACUUGUAAUCUGGUGAGGCAUUGCCAACAGAGGCGCAUAUGUAAGUCUCUUGGAAAAGAGCAUCAACGAAGGUGAGAGUCCUGAUUGUCAUGUGCAGCCCCCCUGUGCACGGUGUGCCUUCUAAGAGUCACGUUCCUUGGGAUUGGAGCGCAAAUUGGGUGGUAACUUUCAUCUGAAGUUAAACAAGGGUUUGGGACCGAUAGGAAACAAGUACCAUGAGGGAAAGGUGAAAAGGACUUUGGAAAGAGAGUUAAAAGUGCCUGAAAUUGCUGAAGGGGAAGCGAAUGGAACCAGUAGUGCUGGGUGAGAUUGUCACAUGCUACAAGGAUUGGUUGCUGCCACAACGCAAGUGUGAUGGCAAUUUGUGAAUUGCUAGUGUGUGGUGUGUCUUACCUAGUGGGUCAUUGUGGGUUUAUGCAUUAAGAUAAGUCAAAGCAAGCGGGAGCAAGUUUACGAGUUUGUGAAUGUGUGUUGUUAUGCUUGUGCGUAAGCUUUAAGGUUUGUCUGGCUGCAGGGCUGUCCAUCCUCGAGCUGAGGGUUGCGAUGAGCAUAACCUUCUGCGCAGAUCUUGACGAAAUGGUUUCAUUCGACCCGUCUA
rnacentral:rRNA from 1 species